rnacentral:lncRNA from 1 species
UUUAAACCCUACCCUUCUUUGCUACUCACUAUCUAAGGAGCAAAUCCGAAGUCGGUUCUCAAGGCCCAGAAGCUCGGGGAUUGAAUACCCCUAUGUUCCAAGUGACUAGCUUGGCUGGUGAUGCGUUCACCCACUUGCACGCUUCCUUGCAAGCACGAAAUCCUUAGUUCGCCCGCUACCACACGGGCCGGUGUACUCUUAUCGCUAACCCCGAGAGAGGCUAUACUCUAACAGCCAACCGACUCAUUAUCCCAGGCCGCAAGGAUUAAGAAAUAGCAAUGUAUCAGGGGCUGAGCGUACCUUCCGCUCAGGAACAAGAAAUGGAGCUAUUAAGUUAAGGUGCCGCUUUCCUUUUUCUAGCUCUUCUUUGGGUUCCCUAUCGAUGCGUGUAUGCCUUCGUCGAAGAAAGAAGGGGAAUCACAAGAAAUUUUCAUAGACCUACAUCGAUGAAUCAUUCGAGAACGAAUUUAGCGAGACUAAUCUAAU